CAGCAAUUGCCAAAGCCAGUGAUCGAUAGUCAUCUUUUGUACUAGAACAAGCUACAACAUUUUUCUUCUUGUCACUCCAUGAAACCACGAUUUUGCUUAGAAAAAUGCCAUAUCCACUGCUACUGGGUCUGUCAUUCGGAUUUCCUGCCCAGUCUGAGUCACCAGAAAGCAUUUAGAUCUAUCAUUAAGAGUGAGUAAUAAAGCCCAUAGUCAACUGUCCCUUUUAGAAAUCGAAGAACACAUUUUAGAGCCAUCAAAUGUCCUUCAUGUGGAUAAUGCAUGAAUUGGCAUAGUUGGUUGACAACAUAAGAGUGUCUGGUCUUCUAAUAGUGCAAUAUUAAAAUGCACCGAUAAUCAUUCUGUAUUCAAUAGGAUCUAAAAGUAAAUAACCAUCUAUGGGGGCAAUUUCGACCAAUAACCAUAGGAGAGGAUAGUGGCUUUGCUCCAGCCAUAUUGGCCCGAUGCAAGAGGUCAGUAAUAUAUUUUCCUUGAUGUAAGUGAUACAAUGAGACUCAUGGCAUGACGAACUCUUAGAAAGUAACUAAAACUUUGAAGAUCUUUGAGCUGAAAUUAACUUCCCAGUGUAGCAAUAAACUGAGUGAUAACCAUUGUAUCUAUCCCUAUUAUAAUGAUAUCAUCUAUGUAGUCAAGAACAAAGAUUUGUAAGUGAUUUCUACCAUAAACAAAUAGAGAUGAAUCAACAGAAAAUUCAAGGAAACCAUAUUCAAGUAGUUGUUGUGAGAGUCUUCGAAACCAUGCUCUUAGAGCUUAAUUCAGCCCAUAGAGAGAUUUAUGAAGCCUGCAAACAAAAUAAGGUUGGUACUCAUCAAGAAAUCCUUUUGGCUACUCCAUAAAUGCCUCCUCAUCUAAUAUGCCAUGUAAAAAGGCAUUUGAAACAUCCAGUUACCGAAUAUGCCAAUGAAAAUUAACUACCAAGGCUAGUUGAAG
rnacentral:lncRNA from 1 species